AUUGCCCUAGUAACGGCGAGUGAAGCGGCAACAGCUCAAAUUUGAAAUCUGGAGCCUUUGGCUUCCGAGUUGUAAUUUGCAGAGGGAGCCUCGGAGGGCGAGACGGUCCAAGUGCCUUGGAACAGGAUACCGCAGAGGGUGAGAGUCCCGUAUCCGGCCGAUCUUGCGCUCCGUGUGAGGCCCCUUCGACGAGUCGAGUUGUUUGGGAAUGCAGCUCCAAGCGGGUGGUAAAUUCCAUCUAAAGCUAAAUACUGGCCAGAGACCGAUAGCGAACAAGUAGAGUGAUCGAAAGAUGAAAAGCACUUUGAAAAGAGAGUCAAACAGUACGUGAAAUUGUUGAAAGGGAAGCGCAUGGGGGCAGACUUGGACGCGGGGUUCAGCGUUUCGAUUGGAGCGUGUACUUCCCCGCGUGCAGGCCAGCAUCGGUUCGGGGGGCCGGACAAAGACGUUGGGAAUGUGGCUCCCCUCGGGGAGUGUUAUAGCCCGGCGUGCAAUGCGGCCACCUGGGACCGAGGACCGCGCCUUGUGCAAGGAUGCUGGCGUAAUGGCCUCAUGCGGCCCGUCUUGAAACACGGACCAAGGAGUCUAACAUCUAUGCGAGUGUUUGGGUGGCAAGCCCGGACGCGCAAUGAAAGUGAACGGAGGUGGGAGUCUGUCAAAGGACGCACCAUCGACCGAUCCGGACGUCUUCUGAAGGAUUUGAGUAAGAGCAUAGCUGUUGGGACCCGAAAGAUGGUGAACUAUGCGUGAAUAGGGUGAAGCCAGAGGAAACUCUGGUGGAGGCUCGCAGCGGUUCUGACGUGCAAAUCGAUCGUC
rnacentral:rRNA from 1 species